rnacentral:rRNA from 1 species
UACGUAGGGUGCAAGCGUUAAUCGGAAUUACUGGGCGUAAAGCGUGCGCAGGCGGUUGUGCAAGACAGAUGUGAAAUCCCCGGGCUCAACCUGGGAAUUGCAUUUGUGACUGCACGGCUAGAGUGUGUCAGAGGGGGGUAGAAUUCCACGUGUAGCAGUGAAAUGCGUAGAGAUGCGGAGGAACACCGAUGGCGAAGGCAGCCCCCUGGGCUGACACUGACGCUCAGGCACGAAAGCGUGGGGAGCAAACAGG